GACGAACGCUGGCGGCGUGCUUAACACAUGCAAGUCGAACGGAAAGGCCCUGCUUUUGUGGGGUGCUCGAGUGGCGAACGGGUGAGUAACACGUGAGUAACCUGCCCUUGACUUUGGGAUAACUUCAGGAAACUGGGGCUAAUACCGGAUAGGAGCUCCUGCUGCAUGGUGGGGGUUGGAAAGUUUCGGCGGUUGGGGAUGGACUCGCGGCUUAUCAGCUUGUUGGUGGGGUAGUGGCUUACCAAGGCUUUGACGGGUAGCCGGCCUGAGAGGGUGACCGGCCACAUUGGGACUGAGAUACGGCCCAGACUCCUACGGGAGGCAGCAGUGGGGAAUAUUGCACGAUGGGCGGAAGCCUGAUGCAGCAACGCCGCGUGCGGGAUGACGGCCUUCGGGUUUUAAACCACUUUCGCCUGUGACGAAGCGUGAGUGACGGUAAUGGGUAAAGAAGCACCGGCUAACUACGUG
rnacentral:rRNA from 1 species